AGGUGGUAAACUCCAUCUAAAGCUAAAUAUAACCGUGAGACCAAUAGUAAACAAGUACCGUGAGGGAAAGUUGAAAAGCACUCUGAAGAGAGAGUUAAAAGAACGUGAAAACGAUUAAGUGGAAGCAAACAGGUCUAUUUGAAGAUAUAUAGUUUUCUAUAUAUCUGCUAAUACAUAUGUAGAGCUAUUAUUAUUCUAUUUUAAGAGGACUCUAUAUGAGAACCCUUAUGAUGGUUGAACGUUGUCUCUGUAUAUGAAUAUUAGCAUUUAUGAUGGUUACCUGUUUGACCCGUCUUGAAACACGGACCAAGAAGUUUAUUGUAUACGCGAGUCAUUAAGUGUAAAAACUUAUUGGCAUAAUGAAAGUAAAGGUUUACUUGUUAAACUGAUGUAUGAUAAAGUGUUUACGGACAUUUUAGCAGUACAGUCCUAUUCUUAUGGCUUGCCAUGGAGUGGAGAUAGAGCGUAUGCAAUGAGACCCGAAAGAUGGUGAUCUAUGCUUGAGCAGGAUGAAGCCGGAGGAAACUCUGGUGGAAGUCCGUAACGGUUCUGACGUGCAAAUCGAUCGUCUGACUUGAGUAUAGGGGCGAAAGACUAAUCGAACCAUCUAGUAGCUG
rnacentral:rRNA from 1 species